rnacentral:rRNA from 1 species
UGGAGGGAACAACCCCCCCUUGAAUGAAGAAGGUUUUCGGCUUGAAAAGCUCCGUUUUUAAAGAAGAACGUGGGUAAGAGUAACUGUUUACCCAGUGACGGUAUUUAACCAGAAAGCCACGGCUAACUACGUGCCAGCAGCCGCGGUAAUACGUAGGUGGCAAGCGUUAUCCGGAUUUAUUGGGCGUAAAGCGAGCGCAGGCGGUCUUUUAAGUCUAAUGUGAAAGCCUUCGGCUCAACCGAAGAAGUGCAUUGGAAACUGGGAGACUUGAGUGCAGAAGAGGACAGUGGAACUCCAUGUGUAGCGGUGAAAUGCGUAGAUAUAUGGAAGAACACCAGUGGCGAAGGCGGCUGUCUGGUCUGCAACUGACGCUGAGGCUCGAAAGCAUGGGUAGCGAACAGGAUUAGAUACCCUGGUAGUCCAUGCCGUAAACGAUGAUUACUAAGUGUUGGAGGGUUUCCGCCCUUCAGUGCUGCAGCUAACGCAUUAAGUAAUCCGCCUGGGGAGUACGACCGCAAGGUUGAAACUCAAAAGAAUUGACGGGGGCCCGCACAAGCGGUGGAGCAUGUGGUUUAAUUCGAAGCUACGCGAAGAACCUUACCAGGUCUUGACAUCUUCUGACAGUCUAAGAGAUUAGAGGUUCCCUUCGGGGACAGAAUGACAGGUGGUGCAUGGUUGUCGUCAGCUCGUGUCGUGAGAUGUUGGGUUAAGUCCCGCAACGAGCGCAACCCUUAUUACUAGUUGCCAGCAUUAAGUUGGGCACUCUAGUGAGACUGCCGGUGACAAACCGGAGGAAGGUGGGGACGACGUCAAAUCAUCAUGCCCCUUAUGACCUGGGCUACACACGUGCUACAAUGGAUGGUACAACGAGUCGCGAGACCGCGAGGUUAAGCUAAUCUCUUAAAACCAUUCUCAGUUCGGACUGUAGGCUGCAACUCGCCUACACGAAGUCGGAAUCGCUAGUAAUCGCGGAUCAGCAUGCCGCGGUGAAUACGUUCCCGGGCCUUGUACACACCGCCCGUCACACCAUGAGAGUUUGUAACACCCAAAGCCGGUGGGGUAACCUUUAGGAGCUAGCCGUCUAAGUGACAGAGAUUGGU